CCUACGGGGGGCAGCAGUAGGGAAUAUUCCACAAUGAGCGAAAGCUUGAUGGAGCGACACAGCGUGCACGAUGAAGGUCUUCGGAUUGUAAAGUGCUGUUAUAAGGGAAGAACAUUUGCAAUAGGAAAUGAUUGCAGACUGACGGUACCUUGUCAGAAAGCGAUGGCUAACUAUGUACCAGCAGCCGCGGUAAUACAUAGGUCGCAAGCGUUAUCCGGAUUUAUUGGGCGUAAAGCGUUCGUAGGCGGUUUGUUAAGUCUGGGGUAAAAUCCCGGGGCUCAACCCCGGCGAGCCGUUGAUACUGGCAGACUGGAGUGAGAGAGAGGUAAGCGGAAUGCGAGGUGUAGCGGUGAAAUGCGUAGAUAUAGGGAAGAACACCAAUUGCGAAGGCAGCGUACUGGGGCCAGACUGACGCUGAGGGACGAAAGCGUGGGGAGCGAACAGGAUUAGAUACCCCAGUAGUC
rnacentral:rRNA from 1 species